AUACGGAGGAUGCAAGCGUUAUCCGGAUUUAUUGGGUUUAAAGGGUGCGUAGGCUGUUCGGAAAGUCAGGGGUGAAAGCCCGGCGCCUAACGCCGGAACUGCCUUUGAUACUUCCGAGCUGGAAUACGGAUGCCGUGGGAGGAAUGAGUAGAGUAGCGGUGAAAUGCAUAGAUAUUACUCAGAACACCGAUUGCGAAGGCAUCUCACGAAUACGUCAUUGACGCUGAGGCACGAAAGCGUGGGGAUCAAACAGGAUUAGAUACCCUGGUAGUCCACGCAGUAAACGAUGAUGACUAACCGUCGGCGAUACACAGUCGGUGGCCAAGCGAAAGCGAUAAGUCAUCCACCUGGGGAGUACGUUCGCAAGAAUGAAACUCAAAGGAAUUGACGGGG
rnacentral:rRNA from 1 species